rnacentral:lncRNA from 1 species
AGGACCCGGGGGCGGGGCCAGUUCCAAUCACGGGAUCCGCCCAAGGCCCCGACGCGGUUGGCGCUUCCGCAAACUCCCCCGGCGUCACCCGGUGGCUCCCUUUAAAGGGGAGGAUUGGAAGCGGGGCGGGGGGGGGGGUGCCGGGGGAGGACUCGGGAUCUAUUUUCAGUCGGUGGACACUUAGGGGGGAAGGUGCCUGGGUUGGGUCUCUGCGUAGGGGACCGGUGGGAACCGAGGGGUGACGGAGCUCGGGAGCUACGCCCGGGAAGGCGCCAAAUUACCGCGCAGAAAAAGAAAAUCACAGCAGUGGGAAGAUGUUUUAGGACCAGACCUAAAUUCAUUUCUUGCCCACCACGGAUCCACAUGCCCCUAUCAGAAAAGAAGACAGAGGAAAGAAAUGUGAACACCUGGAAACUUAGCCUGUAACUUCUGUGUGGAAGGUUGCUCACCUGAUUGUGUGAAGAGUUUUUGAACUUUGGGACAAGAUUUGCCUAGUUUUGCAGAAGAUCCAGCUUGAGUUUAAGCAGUAUUCAAACAUACUCAGCGGGCCUGGCCAAAAAUACUGUGGGACUACAUCAGGAAGCCUGUUGAAGAAAAUCUGAGGAACAUCUCAUGAGAAAAUUCUGCAAAGAGGAGUCAGGGGCCAUGGACCUACCCUUUCUGGCUCUGCUGUAAUCGAGGAAUUCCGCUGCAUGGCGCUCCUUGCUGGCAUUCACUCCUCUGGGUCUUUACCCAGGACCCUAAAGUCAUCCAUAUUGGAAGUGGCUGGAGAAAUAAGGAUCACACAAAUGCAAUCAAGAUGAGACUUCAGAUGGUUUCAAAAAAGCAGACUUGAAUCAUUAGUCUGGAUUAUAUCUACCCUAAUCAAAUGAAAAUUUAAUCAGUUGUGGAGUGCUAUGUGUAGAUUAAAUGUGUUCAUGAAGAAGGAAUUGUCUGCCAGCAGCUGGG